CCUACGGGAGGCAGCAGUGAGGAAUAUUGGACAAUGGGCGCAAGCCUGAUCCAGCCAUGCCGCGUGCAGGAUGACGGUCCUAUGGAUUGUAAACUGCUUUUAUACAGGAAGAAACCACCCUACGUGUAGAGUCUUGACGGUACUGUAAGAAUAAGGAUCGGCUAACUCCGUGCCAGCAGCCGCGGUAAUACGGAGGAUCCAAGCGUUAUCCGGAAUCAUUGGGUUUAAAGGGUCCGUAGGCGGUUUAGUAAGUCAGUGGUGAAAGCCCAUCGCUCAACGGUGGAACGGCCAUUGAUACUGCUAGACUUGAAUUAUUAGGAAGUAACUAGAAUAUGUAGUGUAGCGGUGAAAUGCUUAGAGAUUACAUGGAAUACCAAUUGCGAAGGCAGGUUACUACUAAUUGAUUGACGCUGAUGGACGAAAGCGUGGGUAGCGAACAGGAUUAGAUACCCUGGUAGUCCACGCCGUAAACGAUGGAUACUAGCUGUUGGGGGCAACUUCAGUGGCGUAGACGAAGUAGAGUAAGUAUACCACCGUCGGGAGGUACGGAACGACGAGUUAGUAACGUACAAGUAGAAGUUAGUACGGCGUGAGACGUAGCCGACGGACGACGACGAGGGAGGAGGG
rnacentral:rRNA from 1 species